rnacentral:tRNA from 1 species
CGAGGGAGUUUUAAGACCUGCUAACUCUUUAUUCUGGCAUUAAUACCCAGCCCCC